rnacentral:misc_RNA from 1 species
AAGACUAUAGACCUGCGGAGUACCUGCGGAAGGAUCAUUACUUAUUUGAAGUUUUGAAAACUUUAUCGUUUUCAUUACUUCUAAAAUCAUCCACAGUGUGGGAAAUGUCUUUAUACGCUUGUGCCUGGUUCAGUCAUUGUGCUGCCACAGGAGUUUACUUUAGAUCUUAAGGAUCUUUAGAUAGCUUUCCGUUAGGAAACCUUCUGUAAACGGGGAUAAGAUUUCUUUUUAUUAUACUUU